rnacentral:tRNA from 1 species
GUACCCCAUUGCUUAAGGAUUCUAAGGUGGUGUUCAUGCCGGCGUGGGUGAUCGUCAGCGCGGCCCGUUGGAGCAGUUCUAACUGGGGUGCA